rnacentral:rRNA from 1 species
AGCUCCAAUAGCGUAUAUUUAAGUUGUUGCAGUUAAAAAGCUCGUAGUUGGAUUUCUGCUGAGCUCGGCAGGUCUGCCUUUGAGGUGUGUACUUGCUGAGUUUGGCAUCUAUUCGAAAUGGGGCGUUGCACUUGAUUGUGUGGGUCUUAUUUCGGAGCGGAUACUUUGAGAAAAUUAGAGUGUUCCAAGCAUGCGUUAGCAUGGAUACUGCAGCAUGGGAUAUCAAGAUAAGACUUCGGUCUUUUCUGUUGGUUCCAUUGAUCGAAGUAAUGAUUAAGAGGGAUAGUUGGGGGCAUUAGUAUUGUUGCGUCAGAGGUGAAAUUCUUGGAUUGCAACACGACUGACUAAUGCGAAAGCAUCUGCCAAGGAUGUUUUCA